UUUUGUUGCUUGGUUAAAUUUUGUUACAUCUAUUCCUUUAAUAUUCAAUACUAGGAGUACUCUCCAUCUAUUGCUUGAGAAGCGUGCACUUGGGCUUGUGCCCAUCACCUGUCAUGAAGGCUUCUGUGAGAUCCCACAUCGAUUUAAAGGAGGGGAACGAAGCAUUUUUUAUAAGGGUGUGGAAAUCUCUUACUAGCAGAUGCGUUUUAAAAACUUUAAGGAGAAACCCGAAAGGGAAAGCUCAAAAAAAAAAAUAUCUGCUAGCGGUGGGAUUGGGUUGUUAUAGCUUCAACCCCCGAAUCACAUGAUUUAGGUUUGCAUAAACCAUGUUUUGAAGUUUCUUGUAGAUAUCUCAGUACACUUUUGAUUGCUGUAAUGUAGUGGGAUUCUACAAAUAUUGACUCAGUUUGCUAAUAAUGCAUGCAAUGCAAUUUCUGGGUGUGUAUUCUGGAGCCCCAAUUGCACUUAUAUAAACUAUAGGAUUAGUCAUUUACCUGACCAUCAUGUGCUGUACGAUUGGAGUAGGACAAGUCUUAAGAGUACAGAUCAUUCU